rnacentral:rRNA from 1 species
CCUACGGGUGGCAGCAGUGAGGAAUAUUGGUCAAUGGACGAGAGUCUGAACCAGCCAAGUAGCGUGAAGGAUGACUGCCCUAUGGGUUGUAAACUUCUUUUAUAAAGGAAUAAAACGAGGCACGUGUGCCUUUUUGCAUGUACUUUAUGAAUAAGGAUCGGCUAACUCCGUGCCAGCAGCCGCGGUAAUACGGAGGAUCCGAGCGUUAUCCGGAUUUAUUGGGUUUAAAGGGAGCGUAGAUGGGUUGUUAAGUCAGUUGUGAAAGUUUGCGGUUCAACCGUAAAAUUGCAAUUGAUACUGGCAGUCGUGAGUACAGUUGAGGUAGGCGGAAUUCGUGGUGUAGCGGUGAAAUGCUUAGAUAUCACGAAGAACCCCGAUUGCGAAGGCAGCUUACUAAACUGUGACUGACAUUGAUGCUCGAAAGUGUGGGUAUCAAACAGGAUUAGAUACCCGGGUAGUC